UGAGAACCUCCGGGGGCAAGAGGUUCGACCCGAGCGAAGCGAGAGAACGUUGCGUCAGCAACGGCCCGCAGGGCGAGCCACGCAGUGGCGAGUCAUCCUCUAUCACCGACCA
rnacentral:sRNA from 3 species